CGGACGGGUGAGUAAUGUCUGGGAAACUGCCUGAUGGAGGGGGAUAACUACUGGAAACGGUAGCUAAUACCGCAUAACGUCGCAAGACCAAAGAGGGGACCUUCGGGCCUCUUGCCAUCGGAUGUGCCCAGAUGGGAUUAGCUAGUAGGUGGGGUAACGGCUCACCUAGGCGACGAUCCCUAGCUGGUCUGAGAGGAUGACCAGCCACACUGGAACUGAGACACGGUCCGG
rnacentral:rRNA from 1 species